AGUUAAAAAGCUCGUAGUCGGAUUUCAGUAUUAGGCCCUUCUUCCAAUACGGUUGCUAGUGGUCUUUACUUCCUUAACAGAAUCUUUCAUCUCAUUAAUUUGGGGUGUUUGGGGCCUGUUUCUUUUACUUUGAGAAAAUUAGAGUGUUCAAAGCGGGUUUUCGCCUGGAUAUUACUCUUGGAAUAAUAAUAUAGGACUUUGGUUCUUUUUUGUUGGUGUCUUAGAACCGAAGUAAUGAUUGAUAGGGACAGUUGGGGUCAUUCGUACUAUGAAGCGAGAGGUGAAAUUCAUGGACCUUUGUAUGACGAACUACUGCGAAAGCAUUUGACUAGGAUGUUCCCGUUGAUCAAGAACGAAAGUUGGGGGAUCGAAGACGAUCAGAUACCGUCGUAGUCUCAACCAUAAACUAUGCCAGCUAGGGAUUGGAGGAAGAUCAUUUUACGUCUCCUUCAGCACCUUAUGAGAAAUCAAAGCAUUUGGGUUCCGGGGGGAGUAUGGUCGCAAGGCUGAAACUUAAAGGAAUUGACGGGAGGGCACCACCAGGAGUGGAGCCUGCGGCUUAAUUUGAUUCACCACGGGAAAACUUACCAGGU
rnacentral:rRNA from 1 species